UUACUGGUGACGCGGAGGGACAUUGCUGGAACGCGCCCCAGGCGCACCCAGAAACCCUUUGUGAACUUAUACCUUACUGUUGCCUCGGCGCAUGCCGGCCCCCCCGGGGGCCCCUCGGAGACGAGGAGCAGGCACGCCGGCGGCCAAGUUAACUCUUGUUUUUACACUGAAACUCUGAGAAAAAACACAAAUGAAUCAAAACUUUCAACAACGGAUCUCUUGGUUCUGGCAUCGAUGAAGAACGCAGCGAAAUGCGAUAAGUAAUGUGAAUUGCAGAAUUCAGUGAAUCAUCGAAUCUUUGAACGCACAUUGCGCCCUCUGGUAUUCCGGAGGGCAUGCCUGUUCGAGCGUCAUUUCAACCCUCAAGCAUUGCUUGGUGUUGGGGCACUGCCUGUAAAAGGGCAGGCCCUGAAAUCUAGUGGCGAGCUCGCCAGGACCCCGAGCGCAGUAGUUAAACCCUCGCUCUGGAAGGCCCUGGCGGUGCCCUGCCGUUAAACCCCCAACUUCUGAAAAUUUGACCUCGGAUCAGGUAGGAAUACCCGCUGAACUUAAGCAUUAA
rnacentral:rRNA from 1 species